rnacentral:lncRNA from 1 species
UCCACACCUUGUUACGGAGAGGCCCCAAUAUUGGGCGGACCACGUAAGCUCUCGUUACAGAACGACUCAGAAACACGCUACUCUCACUCCUCAUCUCUCCAAUGCUCCAAGUGUGAAAUUCAUCGUCUCAUUGCUUCGACUUGCCGACACUAGGUCCCAUCUCCUCUCUCUCUCUCUCUCUCUCUCUCUCUCUCUCUCUCUCUCUCUCUCAUCUUCAACCCUCUCUGUCUUUUUUUUUUUUUUUUUAUCUGAAAUUGAGUGAUUGAUCGAUUGCUUAGAAAAUUGUUUAUGGGUUGUAUGUUUGAUUGAUUGAUUAAGGAUUCAGUGUAUGGAUAAAUGAUACGAAACAAAGAAAAGCCUAUGCACUAUCAAAGAAAAGCCUAUGUCAUUGAUAAUAGACGCUAGAAGUUGUGAGAACUUCAUCUCAAAGAAAGUGGUGGAACACUUCAACCUUCUUACUACGAAAGAUAGGGCUCCAUAUGUCAUUGGAUGGAUCAAGAAAGGACCAAAAGUUCGCAUCACUGAAACAUGUAAAGUGCCAAUUUCAAUUGGGAAAUUCUAUCAAGAUGAAGUUGAAUGUGAUGCGGUAGACAUGGACGCCAGCCACAUACUUCUAGGCAGACCGUGGCAGCAUGCUGUCAACACUAUCCACAAUGGAAGAGAAAACACAGUAUUGUUCAUAUGGGAAAAACACCAUAUUACUUUGAAGCCUAAGACCAAGCUUACGAAUCUGGUUUCACUAAAAGAAUCUAACUUUCUUAUUGUUGUUGAAUCUGGUGAAAAGGUGGAAGAACUUGUGAAGGAUGCAGAAGUUAUUUAUCCUUUGGUGGUCAGGGAAGUAAUGGUGGCUGAGAACAACAAAGAGGAGAAGAAAAUUCCAAAAGAAGUCCAGCAAUUACUGCAAGAUUUUGAAGAAUUAUUAGCUGAUGAUCUUCCAAAUGAACUACCUCCUAUGCAAGAUAUCCAACACCAAAUCGAUCUUGUCCCUAGAGCUAGUUUACCUAACCUCCCUCAUUAUCGGAUGAGCCCUAAGGAGAACGAGAUUCUUAAAGAGAAAAUUGAAGAGUUACUACGAAAAGGACACAUUCGAGAGCACUUGCUAAUUCUCAGAUGAUUUUAGAGUCCUUUUUUAGAAUAGAACCUUUAAGUAUAAACUUUUAACGAGAAGGAGAACAAGUUGUGAUGACAUUAGAGGACAUAGCAUGAGUGUGGUGAGGGUAACAAGCAGUGGUGGAUCCAGCCAUUGGCUUGUCUAGGCUUAAUUAAGUCCAGGUUAAUAUUUUCAGCUGGAAAAAUUAACUAUUUCACAUCUUAAGGAAAAAAAAAAAAACAGCACGUUGUAUAGUACACUGGCUUAUUAAUCCUUUUAUAUAUUUAUAUUCCAUGACUAGUGUUCUUUGUGAAUAUACACUUGUAUCCUAACUGAUGGUAAGGAACCUUAACAUCAUAUUGCAAACCUUAACAUAUGGCUCAAUUAAUAAUGUUAAGCACUUGCACCUUUCAUGAGAAUUUGUUGUGUAGCGGUUGCUAAUGAGAUGGUGAUUAAUGAUUAUGAAGUUUUAGGAAUCUCGUAAAGUAAAGUUUAGUUUGCUUAUUGUAUUGUAUUAUAUCAAAUGUUGCAUCUUAGUUUAUACAAAUACGUUAAGGGUAAGUCUUGCUACGACCCCUUAUUUAUUUGUGUUUUCCUUUUUUAGUUAACAAAAUUGCUCGCAUCGUUGAGAUCCGUUGAAAUUUUUUUCGUGUUACAAUUAACCCAGGUAACAAUCCCAUCCUGGAUUUGCCACUGGUAACAAGGGAUGAGUAAGGCGGCAGUUCUCAUGUUGAUGUUGAAUUUAUUGACCUGUUAUUGUUUUGUGUACCAACUGCGUUUGUUGUUAUACCGUGCAUUUUGGUUUUGAACACCUUAAUCUUGUGUUUGGGAGACAUCUGUGAGGUAUAGUC